UACGUAGGGACCAAGCGUUGUUCGGAUUUACUGGGCGUAAAGGGCGCGUAGGCGGCGUGGUAAGUCACUUGUGAAAUCUCUGAGCUUAACUCAGGACGGCCAAGUGAUACUGCUGUGCUAGAGUGCAGAAGGGGCAAUCGGAAUUCUUGGUGUAGCGGUGAAAUGCGUAGAUAUCAAGAGGAACACCUGAGGUGAAGACGGGUUGCUGGGCUGACACUGACGCUGAGGCGCGAAAGCUAGGGGAGCAAACGGG
rnacentral:rRNA from 1 species